GAAAAAGCAUCUACCUCACCGUGCUAUUGUGAAGAUCAGUUUAAACCCACAUGACAUCAAGAACUGAAUUGCUCACUUUGGACAUAUGCUGGUUGAAUUUUGGGUUCCUGUGCUUCCUCAGUGUCUCUGGACUUUGAAGCAUUUUUUUCCACCGAUUCUGAACCAAGAUAAUGCUGAUCCAAACAAAGCAAUGACAUGGACUCAAGACUCUUCACCAUCCUGAUUGUCCUACUCUGUACACUUCCUAAUUUAUCAACUCAUGGAAACAAUGAAUAAUUAUGUUAAAGAAACUAACAAGGAGAUAUACCAAAAUCUGCGGGAUGCAACUGAAGCAAUUUUUAGGAGACUACAUUUCUAAACACUCAUGACAGCAACCUAAGAGAGAGAGAGAGAGAGAAAGAGAGAGAGAGAGAGAGAGAGAGAGAGAG